CUAUAGUGAGAGAAAUGUUAAUUUAUUGAUAAAAAGGUUUAAGUUACAGAAAAAAUAGUAAUAAAAAUUGUAAUUUCUCCUUGACUAAGAUUGUUCUGUAUGGUUUCAGCUUGCACCAUCAUUUUUAUAUUCUCACAAUACCAUGCAAAGAGAGAACUGCCUGCAUCUACAAGACUCCAUCUCACACACACACUAGAGACACUCUUAACUGGUCUAUGAAGAAUGAAGUUGCCAUGUUAUGACCUGCCAACGGAGAGAGCCAGGGAGAGAACUGCUGGCCUCAGCCCUCUGGCUGUAAGGAGCUGAACUGAACAACUUCAUCAGCAUGGCAAAGAAUCCCAAUCUCCAGAUGAGGCCACAGUCCUCACUGGCACCUUCAUUCCAGCCUGUAUACUCUGAAUAAAGCAUCCAGUUAAGCUAUGGCUGGACUCUUCACCUUUGGAAACUGCAGAGCAAUUCCAGGACCACUGAACAAAAAUAAGACUUGAAGAACUAUAGUGGAUUUCAUGGCCUCUUAUUCAAUUUUAAAACUUAAAUUAUCUGAUGGACCCACAAUGACUUGAUUGGCAAGGAGACCACCCCACCUUUGAGGAAAGUCCCUGAGAAAGGGCCUCAGCUCUUCACUGUGAAUCUUGCUCGCAGUCUUCUCCAGAGGCUAUUAUCCCUUAAUAAUGUGACAGAGAAAAAUCAAAUAAGCAGACCUUCCGUGAUUGCUAAAUACCUCAGGUCUGAAAGGAGCCAUGUAAUCCAUUGGUCAGUGAGGGACUAAUGGAGAGCAGGUUGGAGCGUAGGAUGUCCACACAGCAACAACACAGGCAUUUUAAGGUCAUAGAUUAAACACGGGGAAAGAGCUGAAUUAAAUUUUCAUGGACUUAUUGCUUGAGAAACUUCUUAAGAAUUCUCUCUGCUGAUUCGGUUGCAUCAAAGUUAUUUGCCUCGCUCUGCGUCCAAAGGGGUCCAGCGCUGGCUGCUCGUCCUGAUGAUGAAAUUACUGUCAGUCCGCUGAAUAGUCUGCACGGAGCAUGCCACCGUCACGGCAGGAUUGUUUCUGUAUUGAAAAAGCAGAAACCAGCUUCUUGGCACUCCGUCAGAGGAGACGUGAUUUCCUAAUGGAAGUGGAAUGCUCAAUCUGAAGAGUUUGGGGAACUUUCCCCUCUGCCAUGAAAUCUGCAGUGCUAUGCACAACAGUGCUGGAGCACUUCGCGGAUAAAAUGCAACAGGUUUAUUGAUCAUCGUUCUGAUGUUCGGGAAUUUAGGAGGGCUCCUCCAGGGUGACUCACUUCUGCUGUGUCGUGUCACCAGAACUCUCUCAUUCAGGUGGUAGUUAGGCUGGAAGAUCAAGGAUGGCCUCACAUGCAUGUAGAAGGCCUUAGUGCUAAGCUGUUGGCUGGGCCUCCUCUCUCUGCAUGUCCUCUUUUUUCCAGAAGGACAGCCUGGACUUCUUUACCAGGAACCUCAUUAGUAAAAUAAAGAAAGCAGCGGCUGCAUGUCUCAUAAAGCCACGGUCUAGUACAGCUUCUACAAUAUUCUAUUGGACAAAUCAAGUCCAAAGCCAACCCAGAGUCAAGGGGAGAA